UACGGGGGGGGCAAGCGUUGUUCGGAAUUACUGGGCGUAAAGGGCUCGUAGGGGGCCAACUAAGUCAGACGUGAAAUCCCUCGGCUUAACCGGGGAACUGCGUCUGAUACUGGAUGGCUUGAGGUUGGGAGAGGGAUGCGGAAUUCCAGGUGUAGCGGUGAAAUGCGUAGAUAUCUGGAGGAACACCGGUGGCGAAGGCGGCAUCCUGGACCGGCAUUGACGCUGAGGCGCGAAAGCCAGGGGAGCAAACGGG
rnacentral:rRNA from 1 species